rnacentral:rRNA from 1 species
AACGGCGAGGCCGAUGGCAGAACCGGUUAAUAUUCCGGUACUACCUCAAGGAGUGACGUGGAGACGGAGCAGUGACAGUGCCGCGGACUGACGGAAUAGUCCGUUAAAGGGUGUAGAUGUUGAUUCCUGCAGGCAAAUCCGCAGGAAGAGUCGAACCUGAUAGUAUGGAGCGUCUUUCGGGACAAUCCAAUAGUGCAUGUAAACAUACUCCCGAGAAAAUCCGCUAAACUUAAUCCUUGUGGUACCCGUACCGCAAACGGACACACGUAGUCGGGUUGAA